GAGCACGUAGGUGGGUUUGUAAGUCAGACGUGAAAGCCUUCUGUUCAACGGAAGAAUUGCAUCUGAAACUACAAACCUUGAGUGUAGGAGGGGAGAAUGGAACUUCUGGUGGAGCGGUGAAAUGCGUAGAUAUCAGAAGGAACGCCGGCGGCGAAAGCGAUCCUCUGGCCUAUUACUGACACUCAGUGUGCGAAAGCUAGGGGAGCAAACGGGAUCAGAUACCCCGGUAGUCCUAGCCGUAAACGAUGGGCACUAAGUAGAGGGGGGU
rnacentral:rRNA from 1 species